AAAUUACAUCUAUUAUUUCUUUUACCCUCAUCCAUUUCGCUGGUCGCUUAAAUUCUUUUCACACCUUAAAGUUACGGUAAAAAAAUUAAAAUUCCAGCUAAACUAUUACAGAUAUGACUAAAAUGUAUAUGAGCAAUUUUGUAGAUAAUUAAAUUCUCUACAAAAAAUGUCUUAUAAAAUUUUUACGUAUGUCUAUUUAUUUCACUGUACUUACAACUUUAAGUAAAAAAAGUAAAUUUUCAUUUAUUGGAGUUUUUAAAUUUAUUUGUUCUUAUUUGUUUGCUCUGUAACUUUGAAACUAUCAGAGAUACGUUAAUAAGUAUGAGGACCUUUUUUGUAGAAAAUUAAAUUUCCUAUAGAUUUUGUUUCAAAAAUUUUUUUGUAACUUUUAUAGUUUUAGUUUAAAUUGAAUUUUAAAAUAAAAACUACUUCAAUUUUUUUCUGGAUUUGAAUUUUUAUAUUUUGAUGGGUUUAUACAUAUAAGUAAUUGUCUAAAAAAAGUAUAUAUUUAAAAAUUUUUUAUUGAUUAUUGUUAAUUAAUAAACCAUGAAUUGUCUAUACUGAGUACUGAAUUACUGCGUAAUUAAUUUUCAAAUUUUAUUCCAUUGCGUCAAAAAUAUGACUAAUUAUUUUUAUGUUGUUUAAUUAAUCUGUGACGCCGAUGCUCAAUCAUUUUACGGAGCACGUAAUAAAUAUUUACUGUAGUAUGUAUGAUUCAUUAUUAUGAUUAAUAAGUGCGAUGUUAUGGGAUUAUCGUCUGGUAGCAGAUAGACAAUAAAUGAUGAAAUUAGUUUGAUAAUAAAUGAAAUCUUGAUAACGAAAAAAAUUCAGUAUAAAUAGGCGGGAAAAAAAAAUGAAUUUAUUGAGUCAAGUAAACGUCAGUUUAUCUGAGUGAACUUAUAAGUCUACUGGUGAUUUGAGUAAAGAAAAUUGAGUAUUUGAAAAUGUCCAAGUUAAUGAUUAUCUUCGUCGUUCUUUGUGUUGUUGUCGCUGUAAUUAUGCCACAAAUUGUCGAUGGAGCACAAGGAAAAUGCAAAGGACCUGGUUUAUCAUGUAUGUCUAAUUGGGAAUGCUGUUCAAAACACUGUGCUAAAGUUGCUGGCAAAGCUUUUGCUAAACCAUUUAAAUCUAUUUGUCGUUAACAAAAUUACGAUUAUAAUAAUCUACAUCUGUAUAAUCAAGCGAUGUAAUAAAUAGAUUUUAUAUAAAAAUCACAAAUUUCUUUUCUUAUAAUUUCUUUAUUUUUUAUUUUAAUACUUACGGUUUAAACUUAAAAAAAUUUAAUUAUAAUUUAACUUUAUCUUUUAGAAAAUCCGAAAUUACUAUUUAUAAAAAAAAAGUUGGGGCAAGUUGGUCAGCCCGACAGUGCGGAAAAUUUUUAAUUUUAAGUAAAAAAAAAGUUUGUUGCAGUUACGGCCCAUUUUACCUCAGACUCUUCAGAUUCUUUAUGAAUAAUUAAAAAAAAUAACUGUUAUUAUUAAAAAUUGGAAAUUGGCCACAAUGUCUAGGUUGACCAGCUUGCCCCAUUAUUUUCCGGAAGCAGUAAUCGGUUUAAAAAUAAUAUUUUCUUUUUUCUCUAAAGUAAUGUGCCAUUUUACCCCGUUUCUAGAAAAAUUUGAAUUAAAUAACGAACUGUAGUAUAGUAUAUAAAU